rnacentral:rRNA from 1 species
CUACGGAGGAUGCGAGCGUUAUCCGGAUUUAUUGGGUUUAAAGGGUGCGUAGGCUGUGCGUUAAGUCAGGGGUGAAAUGCCGUCGCUCAACGACGGAGCUGCCCUUGAUACUGGCGUGCUGGAGUACGGAUGCCGUUGGAGGAAUGAGUGGUGUAGCGGUGAAAUGCUUAGAUAUCACUCAGAACACCGAUUGCGAAGGCAUCUGACGAAUCCGUCACUGACGCUGAGGCACGAAAGCGUGGGGAUAGAACAGGAUUAGAUACCCUGGUAUUCCACGCCGUAAACGAUGAUGACUAACCGUCGGCGAUAGACAGCCGGUGGCCAAGCGAAAGCGAUAAGUCAUCCACCAGGGGAGUACGUCGGCAACGAUGAAACUCAAAGGAAUUGACGGGG